AAAUGAGCAGGUUUGGAAAAUUUGGCAUUCCAAAUAUACCCUUAACUAUGUUUUCUCUUUCAUUUCACAAUCUUUCUCAUUUCACAACCAACCUCGUUUCGUCCUCUCUCUCGUUUAGUUGUUGUCUGCGUUGUGGUUACCCAUUUGAUUUUCCGUUGUCCGUUGUCGGCGGUUGGUGGAAAUGGAAAGUCCGGAAGGGCAGCUUCGUUGUAGAAAGGUAAAUGCGUUGUUGGGUUUUGGGUUUUUUGUUAGGGUAGUUUUGUUUUAGUUUUGUUCGAGUUUUGGGUUUUUGGGUUUUUCGUUUGCGUUGUUAGGUUUUGGGAUUUUUGUUAGGGUAGUUUUGUUUUUGUUUUGUUCGAGUUUUGGGUUUUUGGGUUUUUCGUUUGCGUUGUUAGGUUUUGGGUUUUUGGUUUGCGUUGUUAGGUUUUGGGUUUUUGAUUUGUGGUCUUCCGUUAUGGAUGUUGUGGUGAUGGUUUAGUGUUUAUUUGUUUUGGGUUUUUGAUUUGUGUUCGUCGUUGUUGAUGUUGUGUUAAUGGUAGUGUGUUUUUGUGUUUUGUGUAAUUGUUUAAGGGUGUUGUGUUGUUUGUUUUAUGUUUCUUUGUGGGUUUUUCCACCCCAUUUAGUUAUGUUUGUAAUAUGGUUCUGCUAUUACAUUUGAUUUGUUUUGGUUGAGCAAUUGACGGACAUAGUCAAAGUUUUUGCACCAGAUAUUUGUCCUCCAACACUUGCCUUGGUGGAGGCAACGCCAAAACCUGUUAUUCGACUUCCGAUGUGGACAGA
rnacentral:lncRNA from 1 species